GUCUUAACUCCAAACAUUAUUGGGACAAUGAAUAAUGUUAGACAAAUUGUAGGGGAAGUUCAAGCCUUGAGCCAGGAUCCCGCCUUAGAAAAGCGUAAACUUGAAAUUUCAUUUCGUUUAUAUAAGCAAUCGGUUGUAAAGCCUUUGCUUGUAUUAUUUAUUCCUUCUGUUCUGUAGGUUGCAGAGCUUCUUUUUCUGUUUGAUUCAUUCUUCUUUUUUGUCCUUUAAUUUAUGAAUCAUUUCAUUUGAUUAUUAUUUGUCCUUUAGCUUCGGUUAUUGUUUGUUUCUUUUUUUUUUUUUUGGGGGUAGGAUUUAACUGGCCAGCCAUACAAUUCUAUGGUAACAAUUUGUGAAUUUUACCACACAUGUUUUCAAAGUUUCUUGUUUUCUUGCUAUUGACUUAUUUUUCAUAUGUUGAAGGUUGUCAUGGUCAUGUCUUUUUCUGUUGAGCUAGAAGCAGAUAUAGAUUGUGGCAUUCGGAGAUUUUGCUUGGAUUAGUGUUAAACUAAAGGUUCUUUUUCCUGUUUUCCCCUUCCUCUGCCACAACACAAUGAGAGAUUCAGGAAUUUGGCUAUUGCUUGCUCGUGGAGAGUGUUAACCGUGUAAGAAGAAUCUUUCUCUGUUCCAGUUAUUGCUCUUGUUGAAAAGUUUAUCCAUCUUUAAAGUGAUUUAGGCCUUGUCCCGGAUGAAACUUAUAUUACUAAUUCAUUUUCCUUUGAUUUGUCUUUAA